ACUUAGCUUAGUUGGUAGAGCGCCUGCUUUGCACGCAGGAGGUCAGGAGUUCGACUCUCCUAGU
rnacentral:tRNA from 1 species